rnacentral:lncRNA from 1 species
AAAGGAUGUUGAAUAUAGUUCAUAAAUCAUUGGCACUCAAUAAUUUCCAGAAUAAUCUCCCCCUUCUCUGACUCUCUUAUCUUCCAUGUCUUCUGCUUUUCUUUUGUUCACCUAAGUCAUCUAUAAUUUGACCACAAUGUGAGUAUAGUAUUUGACACAUUGUAUUGUAAUUUAGGUGCCUCCCCCUCUAGAAUGUUGUGGAAUUAAUGUGUUCUUGGCCUCAUACCCACUUAGGCCUGGUCUCCAUUUUCCUUCAAUGCAAUCCCUCACCUGUCUCUGCACCUCCCUACUCAUUAGGCCUCUCAUUUUCUCUUCUGACCUGCACAUUGAUGAUUUCCUGUAAUUUCCCUACACACUCUUCAUCCACAUGAUCAGCCCUAAAUGUAUCCCUGAAGGGCAGAGGAACAAGACAGAGAGAUCGCGGAGACUUUCCUCAGUGAGCAGAAAUCCUCUGAGGCUGAGCUGGUGGUUUCAUUUUGUGUCACUGGAGGAAUCUACCUGCCCUUGGCAAAUCACAGCAUCCAGUAUCAGUGGCUUCUGUCUCCUUUAGCUGUUUUUUCCUUUUCAAGCAUUGUCUACAAUCACCUCUAGUAAACUUUCUCCCUCAGUUUUCUAUAAUAUAUUGGAUUUAUCUUGUAUCUCUCCUAAACUUUACCUUUCAUUCCUGCCUUACUAUGUCCAACUCUCUUUUUUUUUUAAUCUCCAAGAGGCACUGGCAAGAAGGAGCAUUUGAUUCCCUCAACCGUUUGUGUGACCUUAAACAAAUUACUUAACAUCUCUGAAUUUGUUUCCUUAUCUGUAAAGUAGAUAAUACUUACCUGCUUUCCUCAGAUGGUUGUUAUGAGACUCAAAUGAGAUAAUGGGCUAUAGAGAUAUGUAUACAAGUAAACAGAAGAAAGAAAGAAUAGAAUGUGUUACUUCUUUCAUCUGGCAUGUCAUUCCCUGGAUUGGUGUGUUUCCUUAAGUUUGGACUGUAUUUAGGAAAUCUAUACUUUUUCUACAUCCUUGGUAGGUGCACUGGAGUUGAAAACCUCCAAUUGCUAUGUGUUCUCUAGUUGCUGUUUUGUGUUCGGUUCAGUUGAUUGCCACAUCUUCUGUAACUUCCAUCCUUUGGGGCCCUCAUUUUCUAGCCUAACUUAACCUUUUCCUCUCAUGUUCCUACCAUGCGUCAUGUUAAAUAAAUUACCUGUCCUUGCAUGGUGACCAUAUGGUUUGCACAUUGCUUGUACCAAGAAUAUAUUCUUAAAAAAUAUUUGAGGUGUUCUUUUUGGAUUUAGA